CAUGGAAAAGAGGCAACUCCGAGCUGAUGGUUCCGUCGUAGCGAGCAUAUGUUCCAACAAGCCAUCAUCAUUCAUCAACCAACGCCCCGGCUUGGAGGAUCCGGCUUGCGUACGCUGUUGAGAGGGCAUCGGCGUCUCAGCCUAUAUUAGCUUGUCACUCGGAAAGCGAACAAGGUGAGGGCGAAUCAGCAGGCUGUAGCACAGAAAGUUCAUCCAGCAACCAUGAGGAGGAUCAUGUCAAUGAUGCAGUUUUCCAAACCAUGGCUGGAGAUCUGAUGCAUAACAUCCCUCCUGCUCAAGCGCUACAGGGUUUCUCCGGUGGAAGUUGCAGACAAGCUCCAGUUUGUAACACUACACUAGUGUCAAAAACGUUCUUAUAUUAUGGGACGGAGGGAAUAACAGCAUAUUGGAAGAAGAAGAUGCCAAGCCGCGCGCGUCGUGGAGCCGGUCUGAAGCAGGACUCGGGUCGAAACGGGCACGACCAGGACGGACUCGUGCGCAACAGUGACUGCGUGCCUGGCCCUGGAGAUUCAUCUUCAGAGACAGCGAGACGGCCUGCCGUGCGGAGGUCCCUCUGGCUGGCGCUCCUGGUGAUGGCCCCUCUACUUGUGCUUGUCUUGGUUGGUGUCUGGAGGUCACUGAGCUAAACUAGACGGUUCCUCCUCAUCGUCAUCGUUCGUUGGUAGGCUCUCUCUAUAUAUGUUGGUGUUGUUGGUGUGAUGUAUAUACUUCACUUGGUGUCUGUCUAUGUGUGUGUUAAGUAACUUUAGGCUCUCUCUACCGUACGGACUUUGUAAUGUAGCCAUCCCAUUGACAUGACAUAUUGGAGAAAUCGACUUACAAUCUCUAUUGUCUA